GUGGAUAUGAUGAAAUUGGCAGACAUAUUAGAUUUAGAUUCUAAUGAUUGAAAAAUCGUGAGGGUUCGAGCCCCCCUAUCCACA
rnacentral:tRNA from 1 species